rnacentral:lncRNA from 1 species
UGAAAUAUCUGGUAGAGAUACUUGUUACUUACUGGGCUGUCUAGCUCAUUACCUUUCUUUCUAUUUUUCAGAUUCAGAUAAUUAAUUUCAAGCGUGGAAAGAAAUAUUGGGACAGAGCUUUUAGAAGCGAGAUUAGCAUUGUCAACUUCAUUGAAUUUAGAUCUAUUAUUUUAUUGUUAGCAAAAAUUUUAUUGGAUGUAAG